rnacentral:misc_RNA from 1 species
AAGUCGUAACAAGGUUUCCGUAGGUGAACCUGCGGGAGGAUCAUUACCGAGUGCGGGCCCGCUCCGGGCCCAACCUCCCACCCGUGUCUCUUGCGUACUUUGUUGCUUUGGCGGGCCCACCGGGUCACUCCGGUCGCCGGGGGGCGCUAUGCUCCCGGGCCCGUGCCCGCCAGAGCACCCCUGUGAACCCUGAUGAAGAGAGGCUGUCUGAGUCCCACGAUAAUCGUUAAAACUUUCAACAAUGGAUCUCUUGGUUCCG